GCGCCCGUAGCUCAGUUGGCUGAGCGAUAGGACGGUAUCCCACGGUCCGGGUUCAAGUCCUGGCGGUCGCU